AGGACGGCUUGGGUUCAGAAGAUCAAGGCUGCAUCUGAAGAAUUUUUUGAGACAGAAAAGAAAAAAAGGGAAAAGGCCUAUCAAGCACGAUCUGUGAAGGCCAGUGGAAUAGGACGGCUCCUCGUCACCAUCUUGGAGGCCACUGAACUGAAGCCAGCCAAACCUAACGGU